UACGGAGGGUGCAAGCGUUUAUCCGGAUUCACUGGGUUUAAAGGGUGCGUAGGCGGCUAUAUAAGUCAGUGGUGAAAGCCCGCAGCUCAACUGCGGAACUGCCAUUGAAACUGCAUAGCUUGAAUCUGGUUGAAGUGGGCGGAAUACAUCAUGUAGCGGUGAAAUGCUUAGAUAUGAUGUAGAACACCGAUUGCGAAGGCAGCUCGCUAAGCCAACAUUGACGCUGAGGCACGAAAGCGUGGGUAGCGAACAGG
rnacentral:rRNA from 1 species